UGAGCAAUCUGCCCUUCUCAUCGGAAUAAGCGUGGGAAACCGCGUCUAAUGCCGAAUACGACCUCCUUUCGCAUGAUCGGAGGUGGAAAGCUCCGGCGGAGAAGGAUGAGCUCGCGGCCUAUCAGCUAGUUGGUGUGGGUAAUGGCCCACAAGGCGACGACGGGUAGCCGGCCUGAGAGGGUGACCCGGCCACACUGGGACUGAGACACGGCCCAGACUCCGUACGGGAGCAG
rnacentral:rRNA from 1 species